UACGGAGGAUGCAAGCGUUAUCCGGAUUCAUUGGGUUUAAAGGGUGCGUAGGCGGAAUAAUAAGUCAGCGGUGAAAGCCUGUGGCUCAACCAUAGAAUUGCCAUUGAUACUGUUAUUCUUGAGUAUAGUUGAAGUAGGCGGAAUGUGUAAUGUAGCGGUGAAAUGCUUAGAUAUUACACAGAACACCAAUUGCGAAGGCAGCUUACUAAGCUGUUACUGACGCUGAGGCACGAAAGCGUGGGGAGCAAACAGG
rnacentral:rRNA from 1 species